rnacentral:rRNA from 1 species
CCGCAAGGUUAAAACUCAAAUGAAUUGACGGGGGCCCGCACAAGCGGUGGAGCAUGUGGUUUAAUUCGAUGCAACGCGAAGAACCUUACCUGGUCUUGACAUCCACAGAAGAAUCCAGAGAUGGAUUGGUGCCUUCGGGAACUGUGAGACAGGUGCUGCAUGGCUGUCGUCAGCUCGUGUUGUGAAAUGUUGGGUUAAGUCCCGCAACGAGCGCAACCCUUAUCCUUUGUUGCCAGCGAUUAGGUCGGGAACUCA